UUAGUAUCCUGAUUUCUCAGAUGGGGAGGCUUGGAGAAGGAAAUAGUAAAUGGCUUUCCCAAAGUUACACGGAACCAUGAUUUCCACAGAGCAGGAACAUCGGAGAUACUCAGUUAACGAAUCAGAAGGCCAUCUCCCCCUGGGCUGCCUCCUUAUCCAGACACUACAGGACUUACUCAGAUCCUAACUUUCGUUUUAUUACACUUCUUGGGAGUACCAGGUAUGAGUGGAGAGAACUGGGGUGCUGUGGUACUUAUUAUCAACUGCUCAAAGUUUGUUCCUUGCCUGGAUUUCAACCUUUGACCUAUUUGGUGGAUCUCCUUUCUGGGGACAUGAAAAAUGGUGUGCCACUUGCUUUUGGCCUCCAUGAAUGAGGAAUCUGUCAUCACUCAAAUCAUUUUUCUUGGAAAGGGAUGUAUCCUACUUAUCAGAGCCAUAGAAGAGGAAUCAGUCUCACAUCCCCACCCUGGAUAAAGCAACGCAGUGACCUUGGAGCGGAAACACCAGUUAGCCUGUCUGAUACUGUACCACCUGGGACUGAAGGCCAGACCCCUCCAGACUGCUGCAUAGUGGGACGGCAGGGGAAAUGUUGGCAUCUUGAUGGUGAACCAUGAGUAAGGAUGUUCUGGCCACAUUACUGGAACAAGACCUCCCAUGGACCUCUCUGAGCAAUUAUUUGCAAGUUUUGGGAACUAAGAAAAAUAGAUGAGCUAUAUAUGCCCUUCCUAGACACUUCUUUCUAUCCUCUGAUGAGAGGAAGGGAUGCUAUAGCCUUUUAAUAACAACCUGUUCAACCUGUUUUAUAAAAAGUGUUCAAUAAGCUGAAUGAAUGAACCCAGGUCAACAAGAAGAAGAUAUUGAGACAUGGAAUAAACAUUAGCAAUUGGCUAGUUGGUCAAAGAAUAUUCCAGUAGGAUGGAAGACAUCUUCCAAAGCAAUCUUUGGAAAGGUCCCUGAUGCACAGUCUAUUAACUGGGGUUCCCAGAGGCCUGAUACAGAUUAAGCGCCUUCCUUCAUGCUAUAAAAACAGAAGAAAUCUAGUCCACUAAUCCUCUAGGCAAAUGCUUGAUUGUUCUCUGGUAGAAAUCCCCUGACAUGUCAGAUGAGGUAGUUUUGGAGCGGGUGAACCAUCUGGAGGUUUAUCUAGGGACACAGAAUAAAGAAAUGAGCGGAAAGGUGCUCAAGGGAGCUGUUGGGAAAGAAUUAUGCCAAAAACACAGAGAGUGAGAGAGGAAGGAGGAAGAUGAGGUAGAUAAGAAGCUGUGAAAGGUCACAUUAACUCAUCCCUAUUUUUUCCUCUCUUUCUUUUUAUAUCUUUCUCUAUAAAAUAAAAAUAUUUGAUUGAGAGCUGGAUGCCAGGGAUAGGCACUUGUAUCCUGGUUUCUCCUUGCUAUCAAAAGUGGCGUGGUGUUAGAGAAAUGCAAAUCAAAACUACAGUGAGGUAU